rnacentral:rRNA from 1 species
UACAGAGGGGGCAAGCGUUGUUCGGAAUUACUGGGCGUAAAGCGCGCGUAGGCGGCCGCCUAAGUCAGACGUGAAAUCCCUCGGCUCAACCGGGGAACUGCGUCUGAUACUGGGUGGCUUGAAUCCGGGAGAGGGAUGCGGAAUUCCAGGUGUAGCGGUGAAAUGCGUAGAUAUCUGGAGGAACACCGGUGGCGAAGGCGGCAUCCUGGACCGGUAUUGACGCUGAGGCGCGAAAGCCAGGGGAGCAAACGGG